rnacentral:rRNA from 1 species
GUAUAGGGGCUGACGCCUGCCCGGUGCUGGAAGGUUAAGAGGAGCGCUUAGCGUAAGCGAAGGUGCGAAUUGAAGCCCCAGUAAACGGCGGCCGUAACUAUAACGGUCCUAAGGUAGCGAAAUUCCUUGUCGGGUAAGUUCCGACCCGCACGAAAGGCGCAACGAUCUGGGCACUGUCUCAACGAGAGACUCGGUGAAAUUAUAGUACCUGUGAAGAUGCAGGUUACCCGCGACAGGACGGAAAGACCCCGUGGAGCUUUACUGCAGCCUGAUAUUGAAUGUUGGUACAG